rnacentral:tRNA from 1 species
GGGUGUAGCUCAGUGGUAGAGGGCAUGCUUAGUUAGCAUGCAUGAGGUCCUGGGUUCAAUCCCCUGUACCUCCA